AGACUGCAAGAGCGUUUGAGUUGUCACUACCCUUUGGUGCCAAGAAAUGGACAAGAUCCUGGGAGCAUUUUUAAUUCUAUGGCUUCAACUAGGCUGGGUGAAUGGCCAACAGAAGGGGAAAAGUGACCAGCAGCAGGUGAAACAGAGCCCUGACUCUUUGGUAUUACAAGAAAAAGAGAUUUCAAUUCUGAACUGUACUUAUGAGAACAGUGCAUUUGAUUACUUCCCAUGGUAUCGGCAGUAUCCUGGUAAAGGCCCUGAAUUACUGAUAGCCGUACGUUCAGUUGAUAGUAGAAAAGAAGAUGGAAGAUUUACAGUUUUUCUCAGUAGAAGUAGCAAACACUUCUCACUGCACAUCAACGCUUCCCAACCUGGAGACUCAGCCACCUACUUCUGUGCAGCAAGUGCACAGUGCUCUCCAGGCACCUGCAGCCUGUACCUUAACCUGCAGUGGGGGCUCCAGCCAAACUUUGCUAUAUUUAAUCACAUCAUUACAUCACAAGUAAAUGUAAAACAAUGUUUAAGACAAACCAAAUCUCCCAAUCUGAAUGUUACAACACAUUCAAACCACGCAGCCAGAAUCCACAUAUCAAAGGCUGCUGCUCUAUAUGGCUGA